rnacentral:rRNA from 1 species
AGUGAACGCUGGCGGUAGGCCUAACACAUGCAAGUCGAACGGCAGCACAGUAAGAGCUUGCUCUUACGGGUGGCGAGUGGCGGACGGGUGACGAAUAUAUCGGAAUCUACUUUUUCGUGGGGGAUAACGUAGGGAAACUUACGCUAAUACCGCAUACGAUCUACGGGUGAAAGCAGUGGAUCUUCGCACCUUGCGCGAUUGAAUGAGCCGAUGUCGGAUUAGCUAGUUGGCGGGGUAAAGGCCCACCAAGGCGACGAUCCGUAGCUGGUCUGAGAGGAUGAUCGGCCACACUGGAACUGAGACACGGUCCAGACUCCUACGGGAGGCAGCAGUGGGGAAUAUUGGACAAUGGGCGCAAGCCUGAUCCAGCCAUACCGCGUGGGUGAAGAAGGCCUUCGGGUUGUAAAGCCCUUUUGUUGGGAAAGAAAAGCAGCAGGUUAAUACCCCGCUGUUCUGACGGUACCCAAAGAAUAAGCACCGGCUAACUUCGUG